UACGGAGGGGACUAGCGUUGUUCGGAAUUACUGGGCGUAAAGCGCACGUAGGCGGAUUUGUAAGUCAGGGGUGAAAUCCCGGGGCUCAACCUCGGAACUGCCUUUGAUACUGCAAAUCUCGAGUCCGGAAGAGGUGAGUGGAAUUCCUAGUGUAGAGGUGAAAUUCGUAGAUAUUAGGAAGAACACCAGUGGCGAAGGCGGCUCACUGGUCCGGUACUGACGCUGAGACGCGAAAGCGUGGGGAGCGAACGAGGA
rnacentral:rRNA from 1 species